CUGUCAGAUGAACAUUGAAAGUGAACAAGAUUUCUGCACAGAGAUUUUCCUUGGUCAAGAGUGCAACCAGCCACAUGAGCUGCUGUGGAUAAGAACCUUACUGUCAGAGGAAAAUUGGAAGUGAACAAAAUUUCUGCAGAGAGAUUUUCCCUGGUCAGGAGUGCAACAUGAGCUGUGGAUAUAUGAAGUUUACUGUCAGAUGUACAUUGAUUGGAAAGUGAACAAAAUAUCUGCACUGAGAAUGAAUGAAGUUGAAGAAAGUUGAAAGGCACCCCAGAAGAACCUUAAUUGUUUUAGCCUAUCCUAGAUUCAUUAAUUAAUCAUCGUGAUUUGUCGCUGGCGAGCAGAUCAAUUAUUUGCCGAUGCCGAAGGCAGAGGCAAAUAAUUUAUCUGCAUUCACCACUCAAUUUUCAAUUUUGAGUUUGUUUUAUCGGACAGUUCGGCAAAGCGAGUCGCCAUUGUUUAUAAAAUUGACAUUAAUGCGCAUGCUCAGAGUAUUAUUUGCAGCUGAGUAUUAUUUGCACGCAGUUAACUGCAGGUAAAUUAACCAAUCAAAAUUGAGAAUACUAUAAAGUGAAUGAUAAUAUAUUAUAGUGUGUGAUAACAUGUGUGAAAUGUGAUCAUGUGACAAUUUUCAAAACUUGGAUUUAUAAAGAGAAAUUUUUCUUUGUAAAGUUUAAGAAGUAAACCUUUUUUGUC